AUUGAACGCUGGCGGCAGGCCUAACACAUGCAAGUCGAGCGAGCGGCGGACGGGUGAGUAAUGUCUGGGAAACUGCCUGAUGGAGGGGGAUAACUACUGGAAACGGUAGCUAAUACCGCAUACCAUCAGAUGUGCCCAGAUGGGAUUAGCUGGUCGGUGGGGUAACGGCUCACCUAGGCGACGAUACCUAGCUGGUCUGAGAGGAUGACAAGCCACACUGGAAUCGAGACACGGUUCAGACUCCUACGUGAGGCAGCAUGGGGGAAUAUGGCUCAAUGGGCGCAAGCCUGAGGCAGCCAUGCCGCGUGUGUGAAGAAGGCCGUCGGGUUGUAAAGCACUUUCAGCGGGGAGGCGUUACCCGCAGAAGAAGCACCGGCUAACUCCGUGCCAGCAGCCGCGGUAAUAC
rnacentral:rRNA from 1 species